rnacentral:rRNA from 1 species
AAACUUUCAACAACGGAUCUCUUGGUUCUGGCAUCGAUGAAGAACGCAGCGAAAUGCGAUAAGUAAUGUGAAUUGCAGAAUUCAGUGAAUCAUCGAAUCUUUGAACGCACAUUGCGCCCAUUAGUACUCUAGUGGGCAUGCCUGUUCGAGCGUCAUUACGACCCUUAAGCCUAGCUUAGUAUUGGGAACCUACGUGCGGCAGCUACCCUGUAGCUACCCUGUAGCUCCUUAAAGACAACGGCGGAGACGUGGAGUCCUCUGAGCUUAGUAAACUUUUUCUAGCUUCUGAAGGCGCCGCGGCCCCUGCCGUAAAACCCCCCAACUCUUUAGUGGUUGACCUCGGAUCAGGUAGGAAUACCCGCUGAACUUAAGCAUAUCAAUAAGCGGAGGAAAAGAAACCAACAGGGAUUGCCUUAGUAACGGCGAGUGAAGCGGCAACAGCUCAAAUUUGAAAGCUGGCCUUCGGGUCCGCGUUGUAAUUUGUAGAGGAUGCUUUUGGUUAGGUGCCUUACGAGUUCCCUGGAACGGGACGCCUUAGAGGGUGAGAGCCCCGUACGUUUGGUUACCGAGCCUCUGUAAAGCUCCUUCGACGAGUCGAGUAGUUUGGGAAUGCUGCUCUAAAUGGGAGGUAAAUUUCUUCUAAAGCUAAAUACCGGCCAGAGACCGAUAGCGCACAAGUAGAGUGAUCGAAAGAUGAAAAGCACUUUGAAAAGAGGGUUAAAUAGCACGUGAAAUUGUUGAAAGGGAAGCGUUUAUGACCAGACUUUUUCCUGGCGGAUCAUCCGGUGUUC